CCCUUAGAUGUUCUGGGCUGCACGCGCGCUACACUGAUGCGUUCAACGAGUUUAUGACCUUGCCCGAUAGGGUUGGGUAAUCUUUUUAAAUCGCAUCGUGAUGGGGAUAGAUUAUUGCAAUUAUUAAUCUUCAACGAGGAAUUCCUAGUAAGCGCGAGUCAUCAGCUUGCAUUGAUUACGUCCCUGCCCUUUGUACACACCGCCCGUCGCACCUACCGAUUGAAUGGUCCGGUGAAAUCUUCGGAUCUGAGAGAUGUCUGAUUAAUUUCGGACGCCUUUUGGAAAAGUUGCUUAAACCUUACCAUUUAGAGGAAGGUGAAGUCGUANCA
rnacentral:rRNA from 1 species